rnacentral:misc_RNA from 1 species
AAUUUCUACUGUUGUAGAUGAGAAGUCAUUUAAUAAGGCC